GCACUGCUGAGGAGUCCCAUAAUAGGACGAAACGGGUGUCCAGUGU
rnacentral:hammerhead_ribozyme from 1 species